UAGCUCCUCGUCACCAAUCACACACAUUAGUUCUUGUACUAUUUCUCCUGAUAUUAGAUUAGCCAAUGUGUUGUAUAUAUACCAAACUUCCGUUAUAAUUUGCUUUCAAUUUCUAAACUCACUAAAGACUUGCAUUGUUUUGUUUCGUUUUAUCCCUAUUUUUGCAUAUUUCAGGAUCACUCAAGUGGAAAGAUAAAAGAGGAUUGGUAAAGAGCAAGGUGGUCUGUACAUCCUUCAACCUUCUCGAAUUGUUUCUUCACCAACUUCAGCUUCAACUUUGUCACCAACUUCUACACCAACCGUGGUGCUAUGACAAGUACUUGAAAGCAGCAUUCAAAGAGGCAGCUACAAAAUCAGGUCAUCCAGAAUGAGAAUUACCAGACGAUGUUGGGGCAUACAAUGACUCACCUAAUUCAACUGAGAUUUUUUGGAUAAAUGAACCCUCUAUUUUAUAUAAUAUAUUCUUAAUUAAAUAAAAUAUAUUUUAAAAUAAAAA